AGCAGCCGCGGUAAUUCCAGCUCCAAUAGCGUAUAUUAAAGUUGUUGCAGUUAAAAAGCUCGUAGUUGAAUUUCGAGAUCAAAUUGUUGGUCGUGCCUUGGUACGCACUGGCAUUAUUGGUUUCUCCCUUCUGAAGAACCAAGAUGUCAUUAAUUUGGUGUCUUGGGGAAUCAGGACUGUUACUUUGAAAAAAAUUAGAGUGUUUAAAGCAGGCUCGCGCUUGAAUACAUUAGCAUGGAAUAAUGAAAUAGGGCGUUUGAUUCUAUUUUGUUGGUUUCUAGGAUCGACGUAAUGAUUAAUAGGGAUAGUUGGGGGCAUUAGUAUUCAAUUGUCAGAGGUGAAAUUCUUGGAUUUAUUGAAGACUAACUACUGCGAAAGCAUUUGCCAAGGAUGUUUUCAUUAAUCAAGAACGAAAGUUAGGGGAUCGAAGACGAUCAGAUACCGUCGUAGUCUUAACCAUAAACUAUGCCGACUAGGGAUCGGAUGAUGUUAAUUUUUAAUGA
rnacentral:rRNA from 1 species